AAUUAAUAGUAGUUAUGGCAGUGAGAAGAAUGUAGAGAUUUAGUAUUCUACUAUGUCUCUUGGGUUUCGAUUUUGUCUGACGGAUGAAGAUGAAGGUUCAAGGGUCUGAUUAAUGGAAGAUCGAGAUUUAUUAGCCUUGGGAUCUCACAGACGGAUCCGCUGUUACAGUCUGGAACCUACAUCGGCGCUGAGUCGAAUGUUAGCAGAGGAACCACCUCACCAAACAGAGGCGUACUGCCAAAUGAAGGAAAUGUGCCCAAUCUGACUCUGGCGCUGGCGGGGCUACUCUGGAGAUGCAGAAGACCGUGUCGGCGGCUGAGAUGGUUAUGCCGGUGCAUCUGGUGAAUGU
rnacentral:misc_RNA from 1 species